rnacentral:rRNA from 1 species
AUGGGGGGAACAUCCUCCAAGGCUAAAUACUCCUGACUGACCGAUAGUGAACCAGUACCGUGAGGGAAAGGCGAAAAGAACCCCUGUGAGGGGAGUGAAAUAGAACCUGAAACCGUGUGCGUACAAGCAGUAGGAGCAGACUUGUUCUGUGACUGCGUACCUUUUGUAUAAUGGGUCAGCGACUUAAUUUAUGUAGCGAGCUUAACCGAAUAGGGGAGGCGAAGGGAAACCGAGUCUUAAUAGGGCGACUAGUUGCAUGGAUUAGACCCGAAACCUGGCGAUCUAUCCAUGGCCAGGGUGAAGGUGGGGUAACACCUACUGGAGGCCCGAACCCACGUAUGUUGAAAAAUGCGGGGAUGAGCUGUGGAUCGGAGUGAAAGGCUAAUCAAGCCAGGAGAUAGCUGGUUCUCCUCGAAAGCUAUUUAGGUAGCGCCUCGUGUCUCACUCUUGGGGGUAGAGCACUGUUUCGGCUAGGGGGUCAUCCCGACUUACCAACCCGAUGCAAACUCCGAAUACCAAGAAGUGCAAUCACGGGAGACACACGGCGGGUGAUAACGUCCGUCGUGAAAAGGGAAACAACCCAGACCAUCAGCUAAGGUCCCAAAAU